GACGAACGCUGGCGGCGUGCUUAACACAUGCAAGUCGAACGAUGAAGCCUUAGCUUGCUUUGGUGGAUUAGUGGCGAACGGGUGAGUAACACGUGAGCAACGUGCCCAGGACUCUGGAAUAACCGCGGGAAACCGUGGCUAAUACCGGAUAGGUGCCGAGGCCGCAUGGUCUUCGGUUGGAAAGUUUUUGCGGUUCUGGAUCGGCUCACGGCCUAUCAGCUUGUUGGUGGGGUAAUGGCCUACCAAGGCGACGACGGGUAGCCGGCCUGAGAGGGUGACCGACCACACUGGGACUGAGACACGGCCCAGACUCCUACGGGAGGCAGCAGUGGGGAAUAUUGCACAAUGGGCGCAAGCCUGAUGCAGCAACGCCGCGUGGGGGAUGACGGCCUUCGGGUUGUAAACCUCUUUUAGUAGGGAAGAAGCGCAAGUGACGGUACCUGCAGAAAAAGCACCGGCUAACUACGUG
rnacentral:rRNA from 1 species